CUAAGUAAAGGGGGUAUAAAACUGAAAUAAUAUUGUAUUUUAAGUGUUUGACGGAAAUUUACUACAUAAUUGUAUGGAGUAGUUUAUUUUCGUUAUAUAGUUGUAAAUUUGAGGUCAAUUUUAAACAGAUUCGGAUCGGAAUUUUAUUUACUAAUAAAUUAAACGCUCAUAUUAAACAGGUAUGGCGAAUGAGAAGUUAACGAUGCAAGCUUUGAUCGAACAUGAUCGAGUACAACCCAAAUUAAAAGCCACGGGAACAUCAAACUCGUCCACAGUCAUUAAAGAGAACGCCUCAAUCAAAAGUGGCGAUGCUGUUCCAAAGAGAAGAAGACAUCCGUCAUCAAGUGAUACAAAAUCUCAGAAAUCAGUUUCCAUGGCACCGCCAAAGACGGGUAUAAAUUUCUUUCGAAUAGUUGCAGCAACCAAAGCAUGGCA